CCUACGGGUGGCAGCAGUGGGGAAUAUUGGACAAUGGGGGCAACCCUGAUCCAGCCAUGCCGCGUGUGUGAAGAAGGCCCUCGGGUUGUAAAGCACUUUCAGUGAGGAAGAACGCCUGGUGGUUAAUACCCAUCAGGAAAGACAUCACUCACAGAAGAAGCACCGGCUAACUCCGUGCCAGCAGCCGCGGUAAUACGGAGGGUGCGAGCGUUAAUCGGAAUUACUGGGCGUAAAGCGCGCGUAGGUGGCUUGAUAAGCCGGUUGUGAAAGCCCCGGGCUCAACCUGGGAACGGCAUCCGGAACUGUCAAGCUAGAGUGCAGGAGAGGAAGGUAGAAUUCCCGGUGUAGCGGUGAAAUGCGUAGAGAUCGGGAGGAAUACCAGUGGCGAAGGCGGCCUUCUGGACUGACACUGACACUGUGGUGCGAAAGCGUGGGUAGCAAACAGGAUUAGAUACCCCUGUAGUC
rnacentral:rRNA from 1 species